rnacentral:rRNA from 1 species
UAGGGAAUCUUCCGCAAUGGACGCAAGUCUGACGGAGCAACGCCGCGUGAGUGAAGUAGGAUUUCGGUUCGUAAAACUCUGUUGUUCGAGAAGAACAGCGCAUAGAGUAACUGUUAUGCGUGUGACGGUAUCUAACCAGAAAGCCACGGCUAACUACGUGCCAGCAGCCGCGGUAAUACGUAGGUGGCAAGCGUUGUCCGGAUUUAUUGGGCGUAAAGCGAGCGCAGGCGGUCAAUUAAGUCUGAUGUGAAAGCCCCCGGCUCAACCGGGGAGGGUCAUUGGAAACUGGGUGACUUGAGUGCAGAAGAGGAGAGUGGAAUUCCAUGGGUAGCGGUGAAAUGCGUAGAUAUAUGGAGGAACACCAGUGGCGAAGGCGACUCUCUGGUCUGUAACUGACGCUGAGGCUCGAAAGCGUGGGUAGCAAACAGG